AACGAACGCUGGCGGCAUGCCUAACACAUACAAGUCGAACGAAGGCUUCGGCCUUAGUGGCGCACGGGUGCGUAACGCGUGGGAAUCUGCCCUUAGGUUCGGAAUAACAGUUAGAAAUGACUGCUAAUACCGGAUGAUGACGUAAGUCCAAAGAUUUAUCGCCUGAGGAUGAGCCCGCGUAGGAUUAGCUAGUUGGUGUGGUAAAGGCGCACCAAGGCAACGAUCCUUAGCUGGUCUGAGAGGAUGAUCAGCCACACUGGGACUGAGACACGGCCCAGACUCCUACGGGAGGCAGCAGUGGGGAAUAUUGGACAAUGGGCGCAAGCCUGAUCCAGCAAUGCCGCGUGAGUGAUGAAGGCCUUAGGGUUGUAAAGCUCUUUUACCCGUGAUGAUAAUGACAGUAGCGGGAGAAUAAGCCCCGGCUAACUCCGUG
rnacentral:rRNA from 1 species